AGUCAUAAGUCAAGUCGUCAAGUCAUUUACUCUUCAUAGCCAAGCAUCUAUUUGAUGGAGAAUCGUGCUUUUCAGAGUUUCAGAAGCUGGCUCUGAUUGUCAGGCUGCAAUGAUCGAACCCAGCUAAUAAACUGAGAACUUAGAAAUCUGGUUUGUUCUUAACAAAUAGGUUUUUAAUUCAUUUACAAUAUGUUUUAUCUUGUCUUGCAUGAUCAUUUGUUAAAGUCAGAAAGAAAAAAUAAAGGCGUGGAAACCUGUGAGUCACGUGGUCUCAGACUCUUAAAAAUGAACAAAUUCUCCAGUCAUUAUAAAAGCUCUUUAAAAUUUCUAAAACUCACCAAAUAUGUCUUGGUUCUGUUAGUUUAUGAUAUCGAGAAAACAAAGUCAACAAAGUAAGAACAAGCAACACUACAACGCGACCAACAUUUGGCGUACAUUCACCAAAGAUCCAUUUCUUAAUAAAUAGUGAAUUUUUUAUCUUAUACCAUGUCAUGUCUGCUUUUCUACGGCAUUUCUCCUGUCAUCAUCGUUACUUUCUAACGAGUUCGAUUUCUUACUCUUGCUUGCAUUUACAUUGCUCUUGUGAAACUUUUUCUUGGCCAUUUUUGAUGGAUUUUUAUUGGAAAAAUAAGAAAGACUGCAUUCAAAGUUAAUACGCGUAAAAACAAGCUUUUCAAAAACAAACUGUAGUGUUUGUAUGUUACGUUUAAUUUUCAAUACAUUUAUAAUGCUGAAAAUAAUUAAAUAAAGAUACAGAAAAGGACGA